rnacentral:tRNA from 3 species
GGGCGGGUAGCUCAGCUGGUUAGAGCACUUCCCUUACAAGGAAGAGGCCGCAGGUUCAAGUCCUGUCCCGCCCA